rnacentral:rRNA from 1 species
CUACGGGAUGCUCCAGUGGGGAAUAUUGCACAAUGGGCGCAAGCCUGAUGCAGCCAUGCCGCGUGUAUGAAGAAGGCCUUCGGGUUGUAAAGUACUUUCAGCGGGGAGGAAGGGAGUAAAGUUAAUACCUUUGCUCAUUGACGUUACCCGCAGAAGAAGCACCGGCGAACUCCGUGCCAGCAGCCGCGGUAAUACGGAGGGUGCAAGCGUUAAUCGGAAUUACUGGGCGUAAAGCGCACGCAGGCGGUUUGUUAAGUCAGAUGUGAAAUCCCCGGGCUCAACCUGGGAACGGCAUCUGAUACUGUCAAGCUUGAGUCUCGUAGAGGGGGGUAGAAUUCCAGGUGUAGCGGUGAAAUGCGUAGAGAUCUGGAGGAAUACCGGUGGCGAAGGCGGCCCCCUGGACGAAGACUGACGCUCAGGUGCGAAAGCGUGGGGAGCAAACAGGAUUAGAUACCCUUGUAGUC